rnacentral:pre_miRNA from 1 species
AGCUCCCUUCAGUCCAAGCACAGAGAAGAGAAGGAUGAAAUUUAUCUCCCGCAUCAUUCAUACAUUCACAAUAGCAACCUUAAGUACUCUUUUUCUAUUGCGUUUGAAUGAAUGAGUCGGCAUAUAGUUCAAACCCUUCACCCGUCCAUGAGUGGACUGAAGGAAGCUCUCUUAAACCAUUUCUCAUAAUAUAUACAUGUGAAAAGAAAUCCAAACAAUGUAU